rnacentral:rRNA from 1 species
AACGAACGCUGGCGGCAGGCUUAACACAUGCAAGUCGAACGCCCCGCAAGGGGAGUGGCAGACGGGUGAGUAACGCGUGGGAAUCUACCGUACCCUACGGAAUAACGCAUGGAAACGUGUGCUAAUACCGUAUACGCCCUUAGGGGGAAAGAUUUAUCGGGGUAUGAUGAGCCCGCGUUGGAUUAGCUAGUUGGUGGGGUAAAGGCCUACCAAGGCGACGAUCCAUAGCUGGUCUGAGAGGAUGAUCAGCCACAUUGGGACUGAGACACGGCCCAAACUCCUACGGGAGGCAGCAGUGGGGAAUAUUGGACAAUGGGCGCAAGCCUGAUCCAGCCAUGCCGCGUGAGUGAUUAAGACUAAUUGGUUGUAAAACUCUUUCGUCGAGGAAGAUAAUGACGGUACUCGAAAAAGAAGUCCCGACUAACCUCGUGCCAGCCGCCGCCGUAAUAC